ensembl:lncRNA
UCAGGCCCUAUCACUGAUCAACCCCGUGAUGCUAUUUAGUGACUGGUGUGCUUGUCUUUGCAGCCUGCUCCCCUGGCUAUUCCGGCGUGAGGUGUGCAAGGCGCUGCCUACCCUGCCCCGACACUCGCACCUGUAACCCCCUGAGUGGCCGCUGUGAAGGGCACCUGAGCUGUGUCCGCAGGGUUGGCCCUUCCUGUCUACAUGUUCCCUGGAACCGCUGCCCCACGGAGCCUGGCUGGAGACACUGGAAUGGUAGCUGCUACUACCUGGACUCGUCCUUGGCCGGCAGCACCUGGCAGGAGGGGCUGCGAAUGUGUCGGCAGUUCAGACAGACAGAGCUGCUGUAUCUGACCUCGCGCCAGGAGAAGGACUGGGUAUGUUCAAACUUCAGGGGUGCCUUCUGGACAGGCCUGAAUGAUCAGACGGAUGAAUCCGUAUUUCUGUGGAGUACACGCGAUCCCAUCACCAGGCAGCUCGUGGAGCACUUACGAGAUGACCUGGCGGACGGUGGCCUGAAGGAUUGUGUGUGGCUGGAUACAGCAAGCGGACUUCUAAUGGAUGCCAGCUGUGAGGCGAGAAAGCCGUUCAUCUGCAAGUGCAGCGAGGCUACCGAGUGGUUUGUGAAGCAGCCUGGCCGGGGCAUAGUGGGAGACCCAGCAUUCCUGUAUCCUUCUGCCGAGAGCCUGGAGCAGGCUAAGCAGGAGUGCCUCCAUGAGAGGAGCGUGUGCGCAGCCGUUCUGCAGGCUGGGACAGGCGUCUACCUGAUCAGCUCCAUGGCUGGCAUUAUCUCCCGACCCAACUCCACACUCUACGUAUGGACCAUAUGUGCUGAGGGGUUCAGCGGCCUGCGCUGUCAUAGAUACACUGCCCCCCAAGAGCGACCUGCCUGUGAUUGCAGUGGCAGAGUCCGGAUGUCGGCAGCCCAAGUGUGUGGUGUCCCUGUGCAGAGCUGCAUUGACUACUGUCACCACACAACGACCCGGAGCAACUGCUCCCUCUGCCUGCCCCUCUGCUCAGACUUCAGCCUGGGCGUCCUGGACCCCGAGGAGCUGGCUGUGGUAUCCAUGGUGCAGUUCAAAGUGUCACAGUCCCUCAACCUCACGUCAGAGGACAAGCGUGAUCAAAUGAAUGCAUCUAAAAUCAUCUACCACAGUGAACUCCCCUGAGCAAUCGGUGCCUCAGGGAAUGCUGGGAAAGGGCAGAGCAGCAACGGCUGCCCGGUGCUCAUCUUGCAAAGGUUCCCCAGUUAUUCCCCUUCCCAUUCGGUUCUGUGCUACCGUUUUGCUGUAAACGUGCUGGGGGAAGGGGCUCAAUGUAAUGUUCCCAACCAUCCCAUUGCUGUGGUCUGAGUGGGGCGGGGCCAGCAACUCGCAGCUCCAUGAACUAGGAGCCCACUCCCAGAUGAGCCGAUCCAGGGCCCUGGGGAGCAGUAUCCAUAGGUAGCUUUUCACCGGACUCAGCCUCAGCCCUGACUCACAAGUGAGACAUUAAAGAGACAGACUAGGAGCAAUCCAGGGAGACAGUUACCAUGCACCAGCCUGGCAGGGGCCCCUCGCCUCACCCAGGUGCAUCAGCUGCAGAUGCAGUGGUCCCAGCCCAGCCUUCUGUCAGCUCCAGUGGGCACCCGGGCCUAGGAGCCAGGAUGUGGGGAAGAGCAGGGUGGGAAGUGUCACAGAGUCCCUGGGUGAUGCUCUGGAACUGCUCCCCACCAAGCCAGUCAGGACUUUGGGGAGCCUCCUCUCCCUUGGAGUCAACUGUCUCCAGGGCAAGAAGCUCACACGUCUUCACCUCCUGGGUCUCUCCUUGGAGCAUUCAGCAUCCUCUGCCCCUCCGUGCACUUCCCACAGUGAGUCUGCCCAGGCAGGGUCCUGGGAAGCCACCGGGUCCUGCACCUCCACUUCACAGUCAGACGUGACUCUCAGCCAGCCAGUAAAGCAGAAGGUUUAUUUGGACGACAGGAACACAGUCCAAGGCAGGUCUUGCAGGAACAGACAGCAGGACCCCCUUUAGUUAGGUCCAUCUGGGUCCCCCAGGGAGGCCACAGCCCCGUUGGGAAGCCCAAGCCCCGUCGGGAUGUCCCUCUCCCUUUCCAGCCAGCUUCCAAAACUGAAAAACCCCCUCCAGCCCCUCCUUUUGUGGCCUUUGUCUCUUUCUCAGGCCAGGAGG